CAUUCUAUUCACAGGGAGUAAUUCGAUUGAGCGUGAAUAAUGUGACAAGCGCUUCAGUUAAUCUCUUCUUUCACAGCAUUUCACAGCAUUACAGCCAACAUGACUGCUGUUGAAUUCAAGCCUGAAAGCACUAGAGUUUCUGGACAUUCUGUCAUGAAUGUUACCAUGAGAAUCAUCCGACGGGACGUUCCUCUUCUGAAGUCCACUCACAGGGAUCAUCGACUGGCCCUCAGAGAAAAACCAGACAUUAGUUAAUUGCCAGUUGUUUUGCUGAAGUGUUGUAUUGGACUUGUGGUCUGUCUGGAGAUGGUGAAGGACGAUCAGCGCUUCGAGGGACAAAUGCUGUAAACUUGAUUUUAUGAUCUGAGUUACAGUUUUUAUCUGCUGCACCUCACUUUCCAGCUGCUUUGCCAUCAGACCUCCAGAAAACCAAUCCACAACAAGAUCCAGUCUAAUUUGUUUUCAUGCAGAGAUUUAAUCAUCGAAGGUCAUCAGUAAAAGCAUUGAUUAAUGAACUAAGAUCGCCUGUAUUUGUAAUAUUUAAUGCAUUUUAUCAUUAUUGCAAAGCUUGAGGAAGUUCAGUGUUUGUAUCAGUGGCCGUUGAGAUUCCAACAUGAUCUCACAGAAUUCCGUGUAUGUGAUCUGUUUAUAUAUAAUAUGUAAAGCAUUGCUCUCAAUGAUUUUUUAAAGUAGCACAUUACUACCUAAUGUAAACCUGAUGGAAAUUUACCAUCGGUACAAUUUUUAUUUAUUUAUUUAUUUAUUUAUUUUGAUUAAACUUUAAAGGUGU